UUUUUUUUUUUUUGUAGUGGUGGUGGUUUUUUGUUGUUUUGUUGUUGUUGUUGUUUUGGGUUUUUUUUGUGGAAAGAUUGCCCCACUUAUGAGCCUGUGGGAUCAUGUAAUCUAGUUAGAGUAGUCCUUUAUAUUUUCUAUUAUGUUGGUGCAAUUUUGAGUCCAUGGGGAAUUUUCAUCAUUCUAGUGAUUAAGAAAGGUGGAUUUUAAUGUUUUCAAGCUAAGAAAAAGUACUGAAUUCAGGUUUCGCACUACUGAUAAAGUGUUUACCCCUUAAGCCACUUCACUGGAGAAGCUGGACUGGCUCCAACUGUGCUGUCUCUUUGAAGGAUUUUAUUUUUUUUUCCUACCACAAGCACAUAGAAAGAAUGUGAGAAUGUAGGUCUAUACAAGACUUAAGUCAUGGUGUCUUGCCAGAGAGAGGUCUUUUAUUACAAAGUGGGAAAGAUGAAGCAGCUCAGAGUAGGACCUGAUGAACACCAGAAUGAAAGAAAGAGUUCCUGGUAGGGAAUACACAGAGGGACGAUGGAGAAUGGCAACAUACACACACACGUUUUACUGGUAUUCUAAAAUGUAAUCUACAAAAUUCACCUAGAAUGAGAUUUCAGUAUGCAUUUCACUGACUUCUAUUUCUCCAUGAAGUUGUUCAGAUGUUUCUGCAUAGUAAUUCAAGGACACCUGAGCUGUGUGUUGGAACUGGAAGUGUGCAUUUCUUUGACAUCCAUAAGCAGUCAUCUAAUCCUAAGAGGAACGAGAGUUAAAUCACAGCCAGUUCUCAACAUUUGCUAUUACCUAAUAUUUUUAUAGCUCAAGAUCAGCUUUCCAGCAAUUGAUAAUCCCGUUUUCAGCAACAUGCUCCCAGAUGUCCCAUUGCAGCUUAAGUGCUUAGUGCAGCGUGGUAGAUUUUGCUAGGGAAACCAGACAUGUAGGAACUGGGUGCUUUAAAAAUCUGCCCUGUGGGGCUAGCUUACUGACAUUUCUAAGAAGUUCACUUGGAAUUUCUGUUCAACUAUAUAGGAGAGCUCAAACAGUCCCUUAAACAUUUUCUAAACCAGAAAAAACUGUGCUCUGAACACCCUUUAAGCACAUGGAGAUUUUUUUUUGCCUUUUUUGUGUUUAUUUAUUUAAUUUUUUUCUUCUUACUUAACUUUUAAAUAUCUAUAAAUUGAAUACAAUAAGAAAACACGAAGGGAAAUAAGAAGAAUGAAUGAAUAAUUGUUUUCAGAGGGCAGAAUGUUCUUAAAGAUGCUAUAUCUCAAAAGAAAAGAACCCUAUUGCUUCUAUGAUACAUCAAUUCUUGAGAGAGCUGGAUUUGUGUUGCCUUGAAGCUAACGUGCUGUUCUCAGAAAACUGAAUACCAAAAAAUUAGUGGUGUGGGGACCACUAUUAGUUAUCAUUUUAAAAUCUGAGCAGAGUUUUCUGGGUUUUUCUUCCCCCAUAUUCCUUAUUGCCAAGUCCACAGUUCAUUCCUAGAAGCUGAACAACAGGCUGUGCCCUUUCUGGCUCAUGCAUUAGUAAGAACUUUGUUGUUAACAAGUCUGUUCGUGAUAGGUAGACUACAGGAAAAUCUGAUUGAAUCUUUUAGAGGAUAGCUGCAUAGAUAAUAUCAGUCAGUGUAUAUUGUAAUAAUUUCCCUUACUAAAGCAAGCACUCAGAGAUAAGGUAGCAUCAUUGUUCCAUAGUCAUACUUUUAUUGUUUGUGGAAUUGCUGGUCAGUGUGGUUGACUCGCCAUAGAAAAAUUCUGUGGUGGCUUCUGAGGUAAAACUUAAAUUUUGAGAUCUUUCCUAAAAUUUCACAUGUGAUUUUGCCCACAGUAAGGUUAUGUUGAUUCAUAGAAGAGAUGCUGCAAGGAGCACUCUACAGUUGCUAUUGCGUAGAGCUUGGCAAGGAUUGCCUUUGCUAUGUUCACAGUACAAAGCAAGCUGCUCUGCAGCAGAUUUGAAGCACCUGAGGGGAAGGAAUUGCACACCUUGGCUCUGCUGCCUCUCUCCAGCCAGGGCGAAGAACUUCUUUAUCUGGGGCUUGUUUACUGGAAAGGAAGGUGACUGUGGAUUGAAUUGGAAAGGAACAUUAUUUUUCUGCCAGCAGGGAAGACUUUUCCAUUUACAGAAGAAAUGGAGAUAAUGUUAGAAAUAGCACACUUGAGCAGCAAUGAAGAUGUAACACCAGAAAGCUGAGUAGGGAUAAAAAUGAGAACAUGCAUCUGUCUUGAGGAGAGUGGAGAAAGUGUGAUGAAUUCAAAUAAGUUCUUCUGAACUAUGCAUAUUCUGCACUCCUAGGAGCUCAUGAAUAACAGAGGUCUUAUGGGCAGAUACUGCAGUCCUCUGGGUCCUCGGGUUCCUCUUCUUCCUAGUGCUCACAAGUCCUGACUGGGCUCCUGAGGGGAAUGGGAAGGGAAGCACAACUACUGUGAGCUACAAGCGAUGCAUCACAGGAGAACUUGGCCUAACUGGGAAGACUGAUCUACAUGGGAUAAUAUGAGCAUGAAGUCUUUCAAACUAGAAGCCCCAUGUAAUAUCAUUAUGAAAUAUAUUUUUUAAACCUUUUCUUGUCCUUUAAAAGUUUUUCUCCUCCUUGCUCCUUUCUUCCUAAUAUAUUGAGUAAUUUCAAGGGGGAAACACGAGUUCUGUUUUGAACUCUGCCAUUGCCAUGAAACUCCAACAAUUGAAAAGUAGGUCAUAGAGUGUUUUUCACUCUGUUUUGAGUGCUGUACCGUGGCUAUGCAAAUUAGGAUUUUAAUUCUCACUCCAGCUACUUUUAAACCAUGUUAUAUGGCCGAAGCAACACGAUCAGCUCUUCAAAAUGUGCAAAAAGACUUAGAAAGAAUAGGCAACAGAAAGCCUAUGCUGUGUCACACCGAUCCCUUCUCCAACCUUAGAAAUUAUAUAGGUGUUGCUGAGUUGGAAGAGGUGGUACUGAAGCAUGCACAUGUGUAAAGGUGUUAGGUAGUGCUGUGGUCCUCUCUGAGAUGCCUUUCGAAUAUGCUUCAAACAUGUCAGAUGUAUAGAGAUUCAAAGCUGCUUAAGCGUGGUCCUCUAUGCAUGCUAUGCAUUUACUUCCUACUAUAAGUAGCCAAGAGUUUCAGCUCCGGAUAUCCAGUUCUGCUUCACAGAUUUCUCUUCUUGAAAGCUGUAGUUGGCAUUUUGUUUGUUCAAGCCACAGCCUUCUCACCAGGAUGUUUAGAAAUAAACAUUUAAAGAAGGUGUUGACUUUUGAAAAUUGGGGUCCUGCUAUUUUUGCCACCUUACCUCUAAAUUGGCAUAAACUACCUUUGUUGUAUUGUAUCAAAAGGAUGUUUAAAUAUG